rnacentral:rRNA from 1 species
UACGUAGGGGGCAAGCGUUAUCCGGAUUUACUGGGUGUAAAGGGAGCGUAGACGGAAUUGCAAGUCUGAUGUGAAAAUCCGGGGCCCAACCCCGGAACUGCAUUGGAAACUGUAUUUCUAGAGUGUCGGAGAGGCAAGUGGAAUUCCUGGUGUAGCGGUGAAAUGCGUAGAUAUUAGGAAGAACACCAGUGGCGAAGGCGGCUUUCUGGACUGAAACUGACGCUGAGGCACGAAAGCGUGGGGAGCGAACAGG